rnacentral:rRNA from 1 species
UCCCUACGGGGGGCUGCAGUGGGGAAUAUUGGACAAUGGGCGCAAGCCUGAUCCAGCCAUGCCGCGUGAGUGAUGAAGGUCUUAGGAUUGUAAAGCUCUUUCACCGGAGAAGAUAAUGACGGUAUCCGGAGAAGAAGCCCCGGCUAACUUCGUGCCAGCAGCCGCGGUAAUACGAAGGGGGCUAGCGUUGUUCGGAAUUACUGGGCGUAAAGCGCACGUAGGCGGAUAUUUAAGUCAGGGGUGAAAUCCCAGAGCUCAACUCUGGAACUGCCUUUGAUACUGGGUAUCUAGAGUAUGGAAGAGGUGAGUGGAAUUCCGAGUGUAGAGGUGAAAUUCGUAGAUAUUCGGAGGAACACCAGUGGCGAAGGCGGCUCACUGGUCCAUUACUGACGCUGAGGUGCGAAAGCGUGGGGAGCAAACAGGAUUAGAUACCCCGGUAGUC